rnacentral:lncRNA from 1 species
CGAAAAUGUACUCAAACACUGUUGCACAUUCCCUAAGACAAUCAAAUGUACACAAAAGAAGCUAGAAAAUUUAAACUAAGAUUUUCUUAAUGUACAUUCAGCUUGGCACAGUGCAGACUAAAUUUAAGACAUGAAAGACGAACCGUGUAAUGAGCAGAGCUACACUUGAACUAACAUGUCAUUUUUCAAGACGCCAAAAUUGCACUCUAGUUUGUUUGUUUGGAGGGGAAGGGGGAAUUAGUUAGCAGAAUUUGUAGAAGGGAAAAGAGCUGUACAGGCCAGGUAUAAUUUAUACAUUUUCAAAAAAUAAUCCUACAGUCCCCAAAGGGAGAGAUUAUUGUCAUGGAAUGACUCCCUCUAUACGAUAUCCAAUCCUCCUCACGCUGCAUUAACCUCUCAGCAAACUUUGUCCUGCCGUCCUCCACCUCCACGCAGUGCAACUGGCUGGCUGUUCUGAGUGAAUGCACCUCCCCCACGAAUUGCACUUGGAUGAGUUGGAGAAGCUGCUGGAUGUUGGCCAGGACGGAUGGGCUUAGCAAUUUGUGCAGAAUGUCCCCUUCUGGCCAUAUUUUUGGAUCUUACAGCUUCCUUUAUAC